AAUAGUAGCUUUUAAACCAUAGAGUCACCAUAGAAUGUAGAAAAUAACGUUUUUUUUUUAAAUUGUGACGUUGAAGUCUUCUUGUGAUCUUGAACAAAAUAAUAUUUCUUUGAUGUUUGUUUUGUGAAUCUUGCAAAUUUUUGGUCUUCCAUAAUUAGUAAAUAGGGACUCUGGUUAUGCUAUACGGCCAUGGAUGUUAACACCUAUCCUCAAUGCAGCUGUAGGAUCCCCAGAAGAACACUACACUGAUCUACACUGCCGUGUCAGAAAUACUGUGGAGCGGUGCAUUGGGGCCCUUAAAACACGCUGGAGAUGUUUGCUGGCACUUCGUGUGCUUCACUAUGAGCCCACCAAAGCUGCGAAAAUAGUAAAUGACUACUGUGUACUACACAAUAUAGCAAAUGCACACAAUAUACCAGUGACGACAACUUGCCUGCUGCUGGUAACAUUCGGGUGCAGCAUAUUGGUAACGUGGCUUAUGGUGCUGCUGAUGCAGAUGCAGGGCGCAUGAGGGCCAACCUUGUCCAGAGGCUGUGAAUUUCAAGGAACUAAAAUAACCUGACUCUGAUAGGCUGAUUUUUGCUGUAUAUGUAUAAUUUAGUAAUAAAAAACACAAUUUAUA